UACAGAGGGUACAAGCGUUGUUCGGAAUUAUUGGGCGUAAAGCGCGCGUAGGCGGUCUAGAUAGUCAGAUGUGAAAGCCCUGGGCUCAACCCAGGAAUUGCGUUGGAGACUGCAAGGCUGGAGUCUGGCAGAGGGGGGUAGAAUUCCACGUGUAGCAGUGAAAUGCGUAGAGAUGUGGAGGAACACCGAUGGCGAAGGCAGCCCCCUGGGUCAAGACUGACGCUCAUGCACGAAAGCGUGGGGAGCAAACAGG
rnacentral:rRNA from 1 species